AGGGCUGAUCCCCACUGGGGAAGGAUCUUUUCCUGCAGAUUCCUCCUUUGUGGAGUUUUCUUCUGUAAGCCUAGAUCUUCAGAGAUGGGCCUGCAAGCAUGGGAAAGACUCAAUAAACAAAUAAAAAUUCUGCUGAAGGAAUUCAUCCGAGGUGAGAGUGAAUAAACAAAACCUCAGAGCAUGUUUGUAACAGAAGGCCUCUAAGCACAGGCAAAUGUGAAUUUGUCCUUCAGCUACACCUGCCUUUACGUUUCCCAACGACUGCUUGAUUUGAUGAAUCAUCCCCCAAAGCUUUGCCCCAAGAAAGAUGUCUUUCAAGAACUCCAAAAUCUGACAUGCGUUUCUAGAAGUUGUACCUUCAGGAAGUCUCCUUCUGGGAUACCGGUGUGGGGAUCAUAUUUGCAUUAACUCUGGCCCAUGGGCAAAAGCAAAAGAGAAAUAGUGACAAACUUCUUUCUUCCUUUAGACUUGCAAACAUAGUGCUCCAGUAAUUUAAGGCUAAUUUACUUCGUGGCUUUGUGCCCUCACUCCAUGUUAAGUCUAAGGCACAUGCUAAAAGUUUAAGUCAUAAUUUGUGCAAUGCUUACAUCUGUGUAAAUAUUUUGUUCAUUACUGAAGUUAUUCAGGUCUAAAGAGAGUGCAUUCAGUCUGUACCAGCCUAUGAGCACUGAGAAAAUGCACUUCAGGAGAAGUAAAUUAUCACAGAAGACAUGCUUGGGGUUAAAAACUGGUAGAUCACGGAUUCAAGCUCCACCCACUACCACCAAUAUCCCUUUCUGGAAAGCUCAUAAUUUCUUGCACCAUUCAAGUCACCAGAGGACAUUAAAAAAAAUAACAAUAUGAUAUGGAUGUUCUGAAUCACGUCUGCUUUCCUAGUGUCUGACAAUGAUAAUACUUAACCAAAUAAUGAAACAGUGUUUCCUGUAUGACCUUCCAGGCCUAGUUUUGUAUGUGCACGAUCUACUGGAGUGGAUUCAUGUUAGGAUCAAAUGUUCAGAUGGCUGAAACAGGAAUGUGGUGACGAAAGGAAAAGUCAGACUCUAAUAAUAUAAGACAUAUAAAAAGAGCAUAUACAGCACUGCAAGAUUCACCCAAGCAAUAGAAGGAUGGAUCUCCAUCAGAUUCAAAACAACAAAAAGACACUAAAAAAACACCAAACAAACAAACAAACCAAAAAAUUAUCCAGAUUAUCCAGGCGAGGAUUAACGGAAUAUGCAAGAAUGAGAACUCUGCCUUUACUCGUAACCAUUAACUGGAGAUGAAAAUAAAGAAAAAAUGUAUCUGAAAGACAAAGAGUUGCAAGAUUAAUCCUUUUCAGAAAAGACUUCCUAAUACUUCAGCUGUCAUUUUCUGGGUCGUAUUUUCUCCCCUCUACGGAAGCUCUCCUCCAAAAGCAAUGUUUUUGGAGAGGGUAUUCAAUUUUAAGAUGUUAUUUUUGACUUACAGAAGAUCCAAGGGAGUUAUGUAUCCUUGAAAGUGUGACUCCCGAUUGGACAAAGCGGUUUGUCUUCACGCUGCUAUUGUGAAUGCAGACCUAAGUGCCCUGUGAUCAAAAGCAGUCAAUCUCAGCCCCGAGGGGCUCCAGCACUUACCUGGAAAAAGGCCAA